CAUGCAAGUCGAACGGAAAGGCCCUUUCGGGGGUACACGAGUGGCGAACGGGUGAGUAACACGUGGGUGAUCUGCCCUGCACUUUGGGAUAAGCCUGGGAAACUGGGUCUAAUACCGAAUACACCCUGCUGGUCGCAUGGCCUGGUGGGGGAAAGCUUUUGCGGUGUGGGAUGGGCCCGCGGCCUAUCAGCUUGUUGGUGGGGUGAUGGCCUACCAAGGCGACGACGGGUAGCCGGCCUGAGAGGGUGUCCGGCCACACUGGGACUGAGAUACGGCCCAGACUCCUACGGGAGGCAGCAGUGGGGAAUAUUGCACAAUGGGCGCAAGCCUGAUGCAGCGACGCCGCGUGAGGGAUGACGGCCUUCGGGUUGUAAACCUCUUUCAAUAGGGACGAAGCGUGAGUGACGGUACCUAUAGAAGAAGCACCGGCCAACUACGUGCCAGCAGCCGCGGUAAUACGUAGGGUGCGAGCGUUGUCCGGAAUUACUGGGCCUAAAGAGCUCGUAGGUGGUUUGUCGCGUUGUUCGUGAAAACUCACA
rnacentral:rRNA from 1 species